GGGGAUGUAGCUCAGUGGUAGAGCGUGUGCUUCGCAUGUACAAAGUCCCGGGUUCAAUCCCCAGUAUCUCCA
rnacentral:tRNA from 1 species